rnacentral:rRNA from 1 species
GACAGAGGUGCCGAGCGUUAGGCGGAAUCACUGGGCUUAAAGCGUGUGUAGGCGGAUUCCUAAGUACCUUGUGAAAUCCCACGGCUUAACCGUGGAACUGCUCGGUAUACUGGGUGUCUUGAGCCAACUAGGGGCGACCGGAACAAACGGUGGAGCGGUGAAAUGCGUAGAUAUCGUUUGGAACGCCAAUGGUGAAAACAGGUCGCUGGGGUUGUGCUGACGCUGAGACACGAAAGCCAGGGGAGCGAACGGG